UACGUAGGGCGCAAGCGUUGUCCGGAAUUAUUGGGCGUAAAGAGCUCGUAGGCGGCUUGUCACGUCGGAUGUGAAAGCCCGGGGCUUAACCCCGGGUCUGCAUUCGAUACGGGCAGGCUAGAGUGUGGUAGGGGAGAUCGGAAUUCCUGGUGUAGCGGUGAAAUGCGCAGAUAUCAGGAGGAACACCGGUGGCGAAGGCGGGUCUCUGGGGCAUAACUGACGCUGAGGAGCGAAAGCAUGGGGAGCGAACAGG
rnacentral:rRNA from 1 species